AGCAGCCGCGGUAAUUCCAGCUCCAAUAGCGUAUAUUAAAGUUGUUGCAGUUAAAAAGCUCGUAGUUGAAUUUCGGGAUCAAUGUUUCGGUCAUGCCGUUGGUAUGUACUGAUAUUAUUGGUUUCUCACCUUCUAAAGAACCGUAAUGCCAUUAAUUUGGUGUCACGGGGAAUUAGGACUGUUACCUUGAAAAAAUUAGAGUGUUUAAAGCAGGCUCACGCUUGAAUACAUUAGCAUGGAAUAAUGAAAUAGGACAUCCGAUUCUAUUUGUGGUUUCUAGGAUCGAUGUAAUGAUUAAUAGGGAUAGUUGGGGGCAUUAGUAUUCAAUUGUCAGAGGUGAAAUUCUUGGAUUUAUUGAAGACUAACUACUGCGAAAGCAUUUGCCAAGGAUGUUUCAUUAAUCAAGAACGAAAGUUAGGGAUCGAAGACGAUCAGAUACCGUCGUAGUCUUAACCAUAAACUAUGCCGACUAGGGAUCGGAUGAUGUUAAUUUUUUAAUGUACUCAUUCGGU
rnacentral:rRNA from 1 species